AUGCCUGAGCCUGCAAAGUUCGCGCCGGCUCCCAAGAAGGGCUCCAAGAAAGCCGUCACCAAAGCCCAGAAGAAAGACGGCAAGAAGCGCAAGCGCAGCCGCAAGGAGAGCUACUCCAUCUACGUGUACAAGGUGCUGAAGCGGGUCCACCCCGACACCGGCAUCUGGUGCAAGGCCAUGGGCAUCAUGAACUCCUUCCUCAACGACAUCUUCGAGCGCAUCGCGGGAGAGGCGUCCCGCCUGGCGCACUACAACAAGCGCUCCACCAUCACGUCCCGGAGAUCCAGACGGCCGUGCGCCUGCUGCUGCCCGGCGAGCUGGCCAAGCACGCCGUGUCCGAGGGCACCAAGGCGGUCACCAAGUACGCCAGCUCCAAGUGAGUCCCUGCCGGGACCUGGCGCUCGCUCGCUCCCUCCCUCCCUCCCUCCGCGGGUCGCCGGCUGCUUUGUCUCCAAAGGCUCUUUUCAGGGCCAUUUAACCACCUCAGUUAAAGAAUCUUUCUUGUGUUGUCAGUCCCAGUUGAUGUUUUUGGCUUCACGUCUGGUUAACUUUAGGAGAGCACACAACACCAAGCACAGAUAA